GGAGGGAUGGCCGAGUGGUUUAAGGCGCUGGUCUUGAAAACCUGUGUGUCGUUUAACGGCACCGUGGGUUCGAAUCCCACUCCCUCCG
rnacentral:tRNA from 1 species